rnacentral:rRNA from 1 species
GCCAGACUCCUACGGGAGGCAGCAGUGGGGGAUAUUGCACAAUGGGGGGAACCCUGAUGCAGCGACGCCGCGUGGGUGAAGGAGUAUUUCGGUAUGUAAAGCCCUAUCGGCAGGGAAGAAGCAAGACGGUACCUGACUAAGAAGCCCCGGCUAACUACGUGCCAGCAGCCGCGGUAAUACGUAGGGGGCAAGCGUUAUCCGGAUUUACUGGGUGUAAAGGGGGCGCAGACGGCAGCGCAAGCCAGGAGUGAAAGCCCGGGGCCCAACCCCCGGACUGCUCUGGAAACUGUACGGCUGGAGUGCAGGAGAGGUAAGUGGAAUUCCUAGUGUAGCGGUGAAAUGCGUAGAUAUUAGGAGGAACACCAGUGGCGAAGGCGGCUUACUGGACUGUAACUGACGUUGGGGCUCGAAAGCGUGGGGAGCAAACAGGAUUAGAUACCCCCGUA